rnacentral:lncRNA from 1 species
GACAUUAACCUAUCAUUCACUCGCCUAACCUCGACCACGGACUCCCUUAGGUCCCUAUCUACCAAGAUGCCCAUCCAUUCUUACCUCUCACGACCCUAGAAUACCACAGCUUAAACCCAUAUACAUUCCUCCCCUUCGACCCUUUCCACCUAGUCUCCUGGACACACGCUAUGUUAACCCUCUUCCUCUGAAGAACCUUCGCCAACUCGAUGGACUUACCCGUCAGAGUGCCUAUGUUCCAUGACCCAAUCCUUAAUCUAUGGGUGUCCGCUACCCUCUUCCCACCCUUACCUCCCGCCCUACCCGCA